AUUGCUUCUUGGCCUUUUGGCUGAGAUCAAGUGAAGUAUCUGUGCUUAUCAGUUUAAUAUCGGAUAUGUCAUCUAUCCGAGGACAAUAUAUUAAAUGGAUUUUUGGAGCUGGGAUUUGGAAUUGGAGCUUGCUUCAUCUACUCCACGCAUCGACCUGGUGUUGUCGUACCUCCAGGACCGGUGCAUCCCUU